rnacentral:rRNA from 1 species
UACGGAGGGGGCUAGCGUUGUUCGGAAUUACUGGGCGUAAAGCGCACGUAGGCGGCUUUGUAAGUUAGAGGUGAAAGCCCAGGGCUUAACUCUGGAAUUGCCUUUAAGACUGCAUCGCUAGAAUCGUGGAGAGGUGAGUGGAAUUCCGAGUGUAGAGGUGAAAUUCGUAGAUAUUGGGAAGAACACCAGUGGCGUAGGCGGCGACCUGGUCCUUUACUGACGCUGAGGCGCGAAAGCGUGGGGAGCAAACAGG